CAAGAUGUCUUUCUGAGGAGAGGCUGGGCCACCUCACUGCACUGAUGACUACGGCGUUGGUGGGACAAGGGAAGACUCUGCCAUCACCCCCUUGGAAGUCAAAGAUACAGCCUCAUCCCCAUAAUGUCAGACACCUAUUCUGACACACUUUCUAAACCCACUUGGCAGCGGAGUUCACACCUGUGGAUAUUCAGCACAUCUGAGACAAUACGACAGAGAAGUUCAGGCCUGCAGAAAUAGCACAUUCCUCUCACAUUAGACCUACUUCUUCUAUCACAAAAGUUUUUGGGAAUUCUCCCAUUGCUUUUAUUCAGAGCACGGAAAGAACAGGAAACAAACCUUCAAGCAAGCAAGCAAGGUAAGGUACAUACAAGCUACAAGAAAGUAAGAGUUCUGUAGAAAUAAAUUCCAUAUCUCUAUGAGGCAGAGCUCCAAGUAUUUCCAUGUUCUGCAAAAGAAGCAAAAAAAGGGCCUGCAACAGAAAUAAUUUUUAUGGUCAGGAAAUGUGUAUACAUAUUGAGCCAAUGUACUUCCACAGGAUAUGCUUCCAGCUGCACCGUAUAAUAUAACCUCUGCUCAAGUACUCAAGAGCCAGAACCAGUCUUCACAGCAAACUUUUUCUUUAUUUCAAGGGGAAUUUUUUUACAGUUCUGUAAAAAGCAGCUAUAAAGGCAAAAAUAGGACACAAGGAAAUGGAAUGAAAUUGCAUCACGGAAAGUUCAGAUUGGACAUUAGGGAAAGUUCUUCAAGGAGAGGAUGGUCAGUCACUGAAGAGGAUCCUCAUGGAAGUGGUCACGACACCAAGCCUGUCAGAGUUCAAGGAUCAUCUGGACAAUGCUCUUGGUCAUAUGUUUUAGCUUUAGGUACUCCUGCCAGGAGCAGAGAGUUGGACUUCCUGGUCUUUAUGAGUCCCUUCCAACUUCAGGUAUUAUAUGGUUCUAUAUAUAUACAGAACCUACAGAGAGGUUAUGAUAGGCAUAAGCUUUUUGGUGACUUUAAGGAUUUGUUUCUUUUUGCCCAGGUUGUUGGGGAUAAGUUGACAGCUGGAGGGCAGGGCUGCCACUUGGGGGGAUCUCAGGAAGCUGGAGAAAUUGGCUUAAAGGAACCUCCUGAUGUUCGCCAAGAACAUAUGCUGAGUCCUGCAAUUGGAAUGGAGUAAACCCACACUGAGGGCUUACCGUUGAGACAGAGACUUUGCAGGAAAGGGCCUGAGGGUCCUGGGAGACAACAAAGUGAAUAUGCACCACCAGUGUGCCUUUGCAGCGAUGACGGGUAACUACAUAUCAGGGUGUAUUAGCAAUAGUCAAGGAAGGUGACCGUACCUCUCUAAAUGGCACUUGUGAUUGAUAGUACUGUGUUCAGUCUGGGGCUUCCCAGACAACCUACUGGGUGAACCCGGUACUAGGCCACCAGGGUUGUCACAAGAACAUUCUGAAAGAAAUGGAUUUGUUCAGCUUUUAGAAGUCAAGGUAAAGGGGAAAAAACUCCAUUGCUGUUUUCAGCUACCUAUGAAGAGGGUAUAGAGAGGAAAGAGGAAUUCUUCUUGGAGGUAAAUGGUGAUGUGAGGCAACAGACACAAACUGCAACAACAGAAAUCCCAAAUAGAUAACUAUGAAAAAACCCACAACUCACGGGUGGGUGUUUGAAGACUGGAAUUGGUGCCCAGGGAGGUUGCAGUAUCUUCAUCCUUAGAAAUAUUGAAAACUUGACUGAACAAGAUUCAAUGCAAUAUAACUUCAAAUUUGGCCCUGCUUUGACAAAGAAGAUGGAGCACAUGCUUCAGAAGUCAUCUCCAAUCAGAAUUAUUUUAUCAUUGUAUAAAAGUUUAGAGUAUUCUCCAUGUAAAUCUGUUUUAAACAUGAAUAAAAUGCUCUUGAAUUUA